AGAAAAGGAGACGAGAUUCUCGGCGUGACUUUGACUGCUCCAUAUCAGACCACCACGGCAUAGUCUCUCUCUUUCUUCUUCUCCCUUAUCUCUCUACACUUGGCCAAACCAUCUCUUCCCCCAGCAUUUCAGAAUGGGCAGCCCAUUCAAAGACCACCACCACCACCACCACCCCUUCUCUCUCGCUAAGAAGCUUAUUCCUUGGACCUUUUAUGCUAUGAUCCCUUUAGUUCUCUUUCGCUUGUACUUUUACCCUUACCCCCUCCACAACAUCACCACUCCCAUUCUCACCUCCUCCUCCUCCUCUGUUUCUUCUUCCACUCCUUUCGUAGGUACACUCAUUUACUUGAAAAUCAAAACAGAGGAAACUUCCUGUGACUACACCACUGGCAAAUGGGUACGUGAUAAAAGAGGUCCUUUGUAUAACGGCUCAGCCUGUGGUACAAUCAAGGAAGGACAGAAUUGCAUCGCUCACGGCAGGCCCGACAUGGGUUAUCUCUACUGGAGAUGGAAACCAAAGCAUUGUAAGCUCCCAAGGUUUGAACCCAAUACAUUCCUCCAACUCCUUAGAAACAAACAUUUAGCUUUUGUCGGUGACUCUAUGGCUAGAAACCAAUUGGAGUCACUUCUUUGCAUGCUAUCCUCUGCCUCUGCCCCUAAUCUUGUUUAUCGAGAUGGUGACGAUAAUAAGUUUCGUAGAUGGUACUUUGAGUCUCAUAAUAUCAACAUCUCAGUUUACUGGUCACCAUUUCUCGUGAAAGGUGUGGAAAAAUCCAAUACCGGUCCCAAUCAUAACCAGCUGUAUUUGGACCACGUUGAUGAGAGAUGGGCUGCUGAUAUGAAUGGAAUUGACAUGAUUGUGUUAUCAAUUGGUCAUUGGUUCUUACAUCCUGCAGUGUAUUAUGAAGGCGAUCAAGUACUGGGUUGUCAUUACUGUCCUGGUCUUAAUCACACUGAGAUUGGAUUUUAUGAUGUCUUGAGGAAGGCUAUAAAAACCACACUUAAGGCUCUAAUUGACAGGAAAGGGGCUAAUAGCAAUGGUAUUAAUGCAUUCGUGACUACCUUUUCUCCUGCCCAUUUCGAAGGUGACUGGGAUAAGUUAGGUGCUUGUCCAAAAACCAAGCCUUAUAAGGAGGGAGAUAAAGCACUUGAAGGAAUGGAUGCAGACAUGAGACAGAUUGAGGUUGAAGAAGUGGAAGCAGCAAAAAUGAAUUCUACACAGCUUGAAAAGUUCAGAUUAGAGGCACUUGAUGUUACCAGCUUGUCAUUAAUGAGGCCAGACGGUCACCCAGGUCCAUAUAUGCAUCCAUUUCCAUUUGCCAAUGGCGUUACUGAGCGCGUGCAAAAUGAUUGUGUGCAUUGGUGCUUGCCUGGGCCUAUAGAUACUUGGAAUGAGAUAUUGCUUGAGGUUAUAAAGAAAUGGGACUAUGAAUCAAGAAGAGAAGAAUGAGCCAUGACAAGGUUAUUGUGUAAGAAUGCUAAUUUCGAUCUAUCUGGGUGGUGGCUGGUUUCGAGUUUCGACUGAUCAAGAAGAUGGGAUAAAUGGUGCCAACCAUAAUGAUCUUUUUGGACUAUACUUUGGUCUGGCUAAAAUGUAUAGACGAUGUCAACGUAAGAACAUGGCCAUGGUCCAAACAAUUUGCAACCUUCCGCCGAGGAAUUUGUUUGGGUGUGGGUUCGGAUGCUGCCUAAACCCCUUUAAUUUUAAAUGUGAAUUGAAUUGAUCAAAGCAAGAGGCAAUGCUGGUUCAAGCAAGUUGCAGUACUGCGGAUGCUGUUCAAAAACAGACUCCCUCGAACGUUUAUUUGCUUACAACUGCGGCGGCGUGCUCGCCGUCUCCCAAAAGUCAAAUUGAAAUAUUAUUAUCCAUAGCAAUAAAAUAAAAUAAAAUUGAAACUCUAUUCUCUUUUGAUCUUUGUGGGGUUCCAUUUGUUUGAGCUCAAAAACCCCAUGCAAGGGAUCCGAAGUUUCUUCAUGUGGCUUGUUCAUGACGAUGGAGACCUCAUUAUAUCAAUGAAUUCUCAAUCAUAUUCUUUAUUUGCUUUUAGUCAACAAAACUAUUAAGUGGUCACAUGAAAUCGCGUAGUUUUUCUUUUUUAUUCUCAAUUGAUUUUACAAUAGAAUGGGAAGUAAUUGUACAGUAAUCUCUAAUAUUGAGUAAAAGAUCAAAAGAAGCAUUGGGCUCCAGGCUAAUUUUAGUC